UCCAAUGAUGGCAUGAAAUCUUUGAGACCUGAUCUUUUUGUUUGAUGACAUCCAUAAGCAAAUCCACUGAGGAU